rnacentral:rRNA from 1 species
AGAGUUUGAUCCUGGCUCAGAACGAACGCUGGCGGCGCGUCUUAAACAUGCAAGUCGAACGAUCUGUAGCAAUACAGGGAGUGGCGGACGGGUGAGGAACACGUAGGAAUCUACCUUGAAGAGCGGGACAACUUUGGAAACCGGGGCUAAUACCGCAUAGUACAGAGAUGUUAAAGGGCUAGCAAUAGUCGCUUCGAGAUGAGCCUGCGGUCUAUCAGCUUGUUGGUGAGGUAAUGGCUCACCAAGGCUACGACGGAUAGCCGGUCUGAGAGGAUGAUCGGCCACACUGGCACUGAGACACGGGCCAGACUCCUACGGGAGGCAGCAGUUAAGAAUCUUGCGCAAUGGGGGAAACCCUGACGCAGCGACGCCGCGUGAAGGAUGAAGGCUUUCGGGUUGUAAACUUCGGUAGACUGGGAAGAAGAAAUACGUUCGUUGAGGGCGUAUAGUGACGGUACCAGUCUGAAGCCCCGGCUAAUUACGUG